rnacentral:misc_RNA from 1 species
UCCAUCGCGGAACAGCGUGUAUGCCGGCUCUAGUCAGCGAUCAGUGCGCCGACUCGAGACUCUGCUGCCGUCGACUGCUGGGCACGCCACCAUGUGGGCUCCGUUGCUGUUGUUUGCGACUCACACGGCUGUCAGUGGAAUGUCUCUCAGCAUCCUGGGUACAGAUUGUCAGACUUCAGUGGGCACAAACGGGAGCUGCAUCAGAAGAAGCGAAUGUCAGUGGGCGCUAGAGGAGCUGAAACUCGGACGCCGCCCUAAAUACUGCCUGAACUCGCUCCCCACCGUGAUCGUCUGCUGUCCAGCCGAUGGUGCCACCACCCCGUCAGACGACCUGCCUCCUCCCGGGCUCAUGUCCAACCGGUCCAAGGCCGUGGGAGACGUUGCACGUAGAAAGUGCAAGGAGUACGGAGAGUUGGUCUACCAGGAAGUGGAAGUGCCUGCUCUCAUCGCCAGGCGGGAGCGCAGAAGCCAAUGCGUCUCCACGGUGAAGUCGCUGAUUGUCGGAGGUUCGAAAGCCGAGGCCAAGGAGUUUCCCCACAUGGCCUUGUUGGGCUGCCGCUGCGGCUCCUCUCACUUGGACUGCGACGGUGACUUGAACUUCUUCUGCGGGGGCUCACUCAUUUCCCCCAACUUCAUCCUCACUGCAGCACACUGCCUCUAUGCACGGAACAAAACGGUGCAGCUGGUGCUGCUGGGUUCGCUGGAUCGGAUCAACAUGACGGAGGCGGACUACGAGCAGCUCAUCGGCGUGGCGGAGCGCAUCCCCCACCCCAAGUACACCUCCAGCUCCACGUACCACGACAUCGCCCUCCUGCGCCUGGAGAGCGACGCCGUCCUCAGCGGCCACGUUCGGCCGGCCUGCCUGCACACCGGGGAGCCCAUGGAUCAGCAGGCCGUGCCCGUCGCCACCGGCUGGGGCUUCACCGACCUGGUCGGCGAGCCUAGCGACGUCCUGAAGAAGGUGGGUCUACGCCUUGUGGCGGACGACGCCUGCCGGUCCAGCUACGCGAGCCACAACCCCACGAGGCUUGCCAACGGCAUAGACUCGGCGUCACAGCUGUGCGCAGGCGGCGAGUUAAACCGGGACACGUGCUUCGGCGACUCUGGAGGCCCGCUACAGGUGUACGCCACCAACACCACGCAGACCCCCGACGAACCCUUCUGCAUGUACAAGAUCCUGGGCGUGACGUCCUUCUCCAAGUUCGCGUGCGGCCUCAAAGACCCCGGCGUGUACACGAGGGUCUCGUCCUACGUGGCAUGGAUCGAGAACAUCGUCUGGCCACAGCAGUGACACAUCAAGAAAAGCUGACAUUAAAAUGUGUGUGCACGCCACUGGCUCCAGGCCGGCUGUCCCUCCUCGCACUCACAGGAGGUCCCACUUGCCGUCCACGUCCGGCCUGCACUCCUUGAAGUCGGCGGCGCAGUCCGCCAGCAUGUCGGCGAGCGACUCC